AUGAACCCCCAAACAAUGCCUCUCAUCACCCCCUCCAGAAGAAAGGACCGGCAUUCAGUUCGAGCGGCCUUCCCAGAAACAUACAACUGAUGCCGCUCUUUUUUAGUUGGAUCCAAGCUGGGAUAGGACCUGUGGACCGGCGGUGUAACCAGGAGUAAGGAAGGAAUAGCUGAUGUGGAAGACAUGCCUGGGACCGGAGGUGGGAAAGAUGGAUGGCAAAGAGAAACGCGACACAGAAGACAUCAUCUGGGUGGCUUCAGAGGUGAUGUGGUCCUUGGAGGCGUGUGCCAUGACGUUUUUGGAGACUAAAAACUACUCUUUGUUGCCAUAUGGAUCCAGCCUCAGGAAUGAAAAUUAAUCUUGUUGGAUUGUUGACGCGAUCCAGCAAGAUUCGUUUAUAUCAGACAAUGGGACACUGUUGUGCGUUGCUGUGUGUUUGUUUCAGAAUACAAAACAUGCAAUACAAAUAUGCUUUACAAAAAAGACGUAGGCCUCAAUAGAGCUCUUGAAUUGGUUGGUUACACAGCAGAAUAAUUAUGUUAAGUAUAGCCAGCCCUGUUUACAAAACACAUCCAAAUCAUGAUGUCCUUGUUACGUUAAAAAGGCGAGGGCGCCCUCUGCUGGUUCAGUCAAAAGGAAACGCUUCACUCCUAUGGUAGCCUUGAACUACCCACCAUAACAACGUGGUGCCGUUUCCAGAAAACAUUCCGAAAAGCUUCUUACCGAAUAUUCUCUGCCAUUAAAAGUGUUUUAUUGAUAGAUAGUAGUUGUGGUUGUUGUCUUUAUUGUAUUGUUUUAUUGUCAUCAUAAUAAAAAUGACAUGGUGUAUUAAAUACUUAAACAAAUAUUUGAAUAUAGAAACAGAAGGGUACACAGACACAGACACACAAACACACGCACGCACACACACGCACACACACACACACACACACACGCACACGCACACGCACACGCACACGCAUACGCACACACAAUCUUGUGGCCACUUCCCAAAAGGCACCGAGUGUUUGCAUAACUUAUAACCAGGCCCCUCCUGGCUCUAACUGCCGAACCGUCAAUGUUAAACAUUAACCAAGACUCACACAGAGUUCAACCUGAAACAGGACCUCAAACGUGCUCCGGGUAAAGAAACACUGCCCUUUUCCGAGUCUUAAGGAGUGUAAACGUUUUUUCAUCUUGUUAAAUUAUCUCCUGCUGAGUUAUAAGAAGUUGGCUUUACAAGCAGGCUCGUGAGGACGGGACCGCCACUGCCAACGAGGAGACAGAGAAGCAUAGUGCAGAAAAUAGGGGCAUGGAGGCCCCAGGCGCCGUGGUCCCCCCAGGGGACUGGAUUGAUGUUGUUGUGCAGCGCUUCCACACCGAGCCCUGGGCGCUGGCCGGGGCCGCGGUGAUCGCCGUGUUUGUGCUGGGGAUCCUCGCCCUGGCAGUGUUCGCCUUCCUCUUUGGAUGCUGCUGCACUCCCAAAGGGAAGCGCAAGAAGUCCAGGGACGCAGUGCUUUAGUUUAGACGUGUGUGUGUGUGUGUGUGUGUGUGUGUGUGUGUGUGUGUGUGUGUGUGUGUGCGUGUGUGCGUGCGUGCGUGCGUGCGUGCGUGCGUGCGUGCGUGCGUGCGUGCGUGCGUGCGUGCGUGCGUGUGUCUUUGUGAGGGUAUCUUUUUAUGUGUCUCAGUGUGUUUGUCUCUGUGUUUCGUGUAUGUCUGUGAGUCUGUGUGUGUGUGUGUGCGUGUGAGUGAGAGUUUGUGCGUGUGUGUAUGUGCGCGUGUGUGUGCGUGCGUGCGUUCGGCGUGCGUGUGUGUGUGUGAGUGUGGGUUUGUGCGUGUGUGUGUCUCAUUACCAAGAAAACUUGGUAUUGAGAGAGGAAAGAUGUUUGUUCCUUGUGUGUCCAUUUUUGUACAUGUUAUGAUUCCAGUGCAAUAGAUAGGCCCUUAUGGUAUACAUUAUACUUUAUUACAUGACAGAAAAAUGCUGCACAAGAAACACAGGCCGAAAUAAAGCUUUUGGUUACUGA